rnacentral:RNase_P_RNA from 2 species
AAAAGGAAAUGGACGAUUGCUCCCGCUUAGCGGGGGAGGAAAGUCCGGACACCAGCCCCGCAAUUGCGGGGCAAGCGUACGGGUUAACGACCCGCCGCGGAAUUAAUAACGCGAGAGGUGCGAACAGAGACGCUAUAGCUCGAAAGAGCUAAAGCUCCAAUGAAAAUUGGGUGAUGCCGAUGGUAACAUCGGAUUGAAACGGCUAAAUCCUUACUGGGUGCAAGUCCAUUAUGGACGCUAUAGCCAUUGAGUAAUUGAUGGCACAGAGAGAUAAUCGUCCCUCGCAAUUGCGGGGACAGAAUCCGGCUUACAGUUUCCUUUAUGAG